rnacentral:tRNA from 1 species
UGUACGCCUUGUGCAUGGCGCGCGCCGCCUUUGAGGGGCUGCGGGCCUCGGCGCCCGGGGAGCGGCCGUUCGUCCUGUCGCGCGCGG